UACGUAGGGGGCAAGCGUUGUCCGGAUUUAUUGGGCGUAAAGCGCUCGCAGGUGGUUCGAUGCGUCGUGCGUGAAAGACCCCGGCUCAACUGGGGAGGGUCGUGCGAUACGGUCGAACUGGAGGCCAGUAGGGGGAUGCGGAAUUCCGGGUGUAGUAGUGGAAUGCGUAGAGAUCCGGAGGAACACCAGCGGCGAAGGCGGCAUCCUGGACUGGUCCUGACACUCAUGAGCGAAAGCGUGGGGAGCGAUCCGG
rnacentral:rRNA from 1 species